rnacentral:lncRNA from 1 species
UACAGGCGCCCACCACUACGCCCGGCUAAUUUUUUGUAUUUUUUUAGUAGAGACGGGGUUUCACCGUUUUAGCCGGGAUGGUCUGGAUCUCCUGACCUCGUGAUCCGCCCGCCUCGGCCUCCCAAAGUAAAGGUGCAGUGGCAUGUGCUGUAGUCCCAGCUACUGAGAAGGCUGAAUCAGGAGGAUUGUUUGAAGCCAGAAGUUCAAGUUCAACCUGGGCAAUAUAGUGAGACACCAUCUCAAAACAAGCAAACAAAAAAGAAUCAUCACUUGAGUCCUUUCUCAACCUCAGAAAGGGUCAUUAUCUCUUCACCUUACAAUGAGAAACCUCAACUACUGGUCAAGCUUAACAGCUAACAUUUCUGAGUGUGACUUCUCACAACCUAUGCAGUUCUUACUUUGAUGACGAUGUCUCUGGAUAAAGACCAUCUUCCCAGUUGCAGGAAAGAAAACUGGGGAUCAAAAGGUUACCUAAACCAGGCAUGGGGACACAGGCCUAUAGUUCCAGCUACUUGGGAGUUUGAGGUGAGAGGAUCCCUUAAGCCCAGGAGUUCAAAUCUAGCCUGGGAAACACAGCAAAACCCCCAUCUCUACUAAAAAAAAUAAAAUAAAUGUUACCUCCUGUUGAGAC